rnacentral:rRNA from 1 species
UACAGAGGUCCCAAGCGUUGUUCGGAAUUACUGGGCGUAAAGCGUGCGCAGGCGGUUUUGUAAGCCAGAUGUGAAAUCCCCGGGCUCAACCUGGGAAUGGCAUUUGGGACUGCAAGGCUGGAGUGCGGCAGAGGAGACUGGAAUUCCUGGUGUAGCAGUGAAAUGCGUAGAUAUCAGGAGGAAUACCGAUGGCGAAGGCAGGUCUCUGGGCUGACACUGACGCUCAUGCACGAAAGCGUGGGGAGCAAACAGG